CCUACGGGUGGCAGCAGUGGGGAAUAUUGGACAAUGGGGGGAACCCUGAUCCAGCCAUGCCGCGUGUGUGAAGAAGGCCCUCGGGUUGUAAAGCACUUUCAGUGAGGAAGAACGCCUGGUGGUUAAUACCCAUCAGGAAAGACAUCACUCACAGAAGAAGCACCGGCUAACUCCGUGCCAGCAGCCGCGGUAAUACGGAGGGUGCGAGCGUUAAUCGGAAUUACUGGGCGUAAAGCGCGCGUAGGUGGCUUGAUAAGCCGGUUGUGAAAGCCCCGGGCUCAACCUGGGAACGGCAUCCGGAACUGUCAAGCUAGAGUGCAGGAGAGGAAGGUAGAAUUCCCGGUGUAGCGGUGAAAUGCGUAGAGAUCGGGAGGAAUACCAGUGGCGAGGGCGGCCUUCUGGACUGACACUGACACUGAGGUGCGAAAGCGUGGGUAGCAAACAGGAUUAGAUACCCUAGUAGUC
rnacentral:rRNA from 1 species